AGAGAUUUGUGAAAUAGACUAGAGAUUCUAGGCACUGUGAGACGUUCAGAGCCUUUAGAGCCCAUUAAUAUACUGUACAUUCUCUUGUUUUUUGCACUCGUGGGUCUUCCUCCCCUUUCUAGCUGUCUGUUUGUCUGUCUGUCUGUCCCUCCUCAUCUCUUCCCCAGGGAGAGGUGCGACCCACGUGGGAGUGUAAUGUGAGGUGCCUCCAUUGACAGGUGGUUGUUUUCAUAAACCCCGGUGACAUGGGUCUGUUGCUCAAUUCGAGGAACACAUAGCGGAUUGGCAACAGGGCGGAUGGUAUUGUGACAUGGAACAUUUUUCUCUGUAUAUUUCUUCCCUGAUGAGUUGAAUUUGCUGCCAAGAUACACAGAAAGGUGUUACAGUCACUCCAGAAACUAGUUUCUUUCAUUGCGGUCUGGCACAGCAAGUAAAGAUCACAGUUUUGACAUUUUCAUUACGUUCAUUAGGUUUUUUAUUUUAUUUUGUCUUUCAGUUCGGGUUUUCUUUCUGUUCAGUUUUAGUUCGAUUUUUUAUUUUUAUUUUGAGGAAUUUACUCUUUUUAGUUUAGUUUUUAUUUAGUUUUACUGUUAGCUGACGUUUUUCAGGUAUUAUGAGGAAAGCCUUUUAGCAAGAAGCUGAAAAAGGUAGGAUGAAGGAAAGCAUGACAUCAAAUAUGAUGUAUUUAAUUCAUCCUUGGUCCUUUUUAUUAGCAUAGUGUCUCUCAAGAAGUCAAACAGAACAGGACAAGUGCUAUAGAAACCACAGUGCAAAUCGAGGGGGAAAACGGAGCAGAUUUUACCUGCAAUUCUAUUUUGUUUUAGUUUGUAUUGCAAUGUUCAUUGUAGUUUUUAGUUUGUUUUUAUGUUUUUGAAAACUUUGGUUUUUAUUUUCAUUUCUGUUAACAAAAUUAUUUUUUCACUGCUAGUUUUACUUUCAGACUUAGCUUUCAUUGUAGUCCAAAACAAUCUUUAGCCUGACAACAUUUUCCUUAUUCUUAGUUUUCUUUUUUGGUUUAUUUGACCAUUUUACCUAACACAUACCAAAAUGGACUAGGAUGUUUUUAGGUCCGGUGAUGUUUUGUUUUGUUUUUAGGUCUUCUACAAGUGUAGUCCAACAGCUGAAAGAUAAGAUAAGAGCUGCAAUCUCAAGGAUGAAAGAGUUUCUGGCUCCACUUUGAUCUUAGGUCAUGAAUAGUUUCCACACACACAAACACACACACUUGCAUGUGCCUGGUCACUCACUCACACACUCUCUCACACACUUUCUCUGAAGUUGUC
ensembl:lncRNA